AUACUUACCUGGUAGAGGAGAAUACCAUGAUCCCAAUGGUAUUUUUCCUAAGGUGAGGCUUGUCCAUUGCUCUCUGGAUGUGUGUCACCUUAAUAGAUUGUAUUCAACACUAAGAGAUC
rnacentral:snRNA from 1 species